GUGGUUAGCGUUUCCGGCGAUCAAUGGAGAGGAAGUGGAGAUGAAAGGACUAUGAUUGAAGGUGACGGUCUGAUUUACAAUUGAGGGAGUUUUCGUUUCGUGACAAAGUUUUUUUUAUAGAGUGUAGCGGAUGAUGGGCUUCGGUGGUUCGGCGUAGAUGUAACGGUUCUGAAGAGAUGACCGGUGGAUCUGGACGGAAAAUGUAUGACAGUUGUAUGGUUUACCGGCG
rnacentral:lncRNA from 1 species